rnacentral:rRNA from 1 species
GUAGGGAAUAUUGGACAAUGGGCGAAAGCCUGAUCCAGCCAUGCCGCGUGAUAGAUGAAGGCCCUCUGGGUUGUAAAUAUCUUUUAUCUGGGAAGAAACUCCUCUAUUCUUAGAGGCCUGACGGUACCAGAGGAAUAAGCACCGGCUAACUCCGUGCCAGCAGCCGCGGUAAUACGGAGGGUGCAAGCGUUAUCCGGAUUCACUGGGUUUAAAGGGUGCGUAGGCGGGUUGAUAAGUCAGUUGUGAAAGCUCCGGGCUUAACUUGGAAACUGCCAUUGAUACUGUCAGUCUUGAAUGUCAGAGAGGUAAGCGGAAUGUUGCAUGUAGCUGUGAAAUGCUUAGAUAUGUUACAGAACACCAAUUGCGAAGGCAGCUUACUAUGCGAUAAUUGACGCUGAGGCACGAAAGCGUGGGGAGCAAACAGGAUUAGAAACCCGAGUAGUCC